CCCAAAUUAGAAUUCAUUUUUCUAAUCAAACAUUUCCCUACCAAAUAAGAUUCUCCCUAGAACAUCAUUGAAGAUCAAGGUGAAGAUCAAGAUAGGGGAUGGAUUCCAAGUUCUUUCUUCUUCAAAUUUCAUGGGAUUUUCUUGUAUUAACGUAUGGUAAACCUUGAUCCUUGGAUAACCUUUCAUCUGAAAAGUUCUAUCAAUGAUUUUCCAAUGUGAUUCUAAAAUCAAAAUUCCUAACUUUUAAUCUAUCUAUGGGUUCAAUGUCAAAAGGUUUUCAACGUCAAUAUUAUGAGAUUGAUGUUUAAAGAUGUUUUUAAGUUGAAUUUCAAGAUAGGCUCAAUUGGGAUAUAACCCUCAAGAUCAUUUCAGCAAUUUCAUUUUUUGCGACUUCUGCCGAAGACUUCAAUCAGUUUGGAUACAAGUAAAAGACAAUGGCACAUUUGAUGACACUCGUGAGGCUUGUUGUCUCAAAAAAAUUUUUUGGUUCCUUGUGAUAACAUCAAUGAUAUUUUCCACAGUGAUGCACAAUUUGGAUCCAUUAGCUUUUGCAGAUAGAAAUGCAAAUACGAGUACGAAUGUAGUUCCAGAUUUGGAUGCAAAUGCAGAUCUUGAGUUUAUAUUUUUGAAAGUCAUCUCGUUGUUGUUGAAUGUUGAUUUUGUUGAAGAGAAGAAAUAACAUUUAAUGAUUUUCCCA